UGGGGAAUAUUGGACAAUGGGGGGAACCCUGAUCCAGCCAUGCCGCGUGUGUGAAGAAGGCCCUAUGGUUGUAAAGCACUUUAAGCGAGGAGGAGGGUACUGGUAUUAAUACUACCAGGUACUGGACGUUACUCGCAGAAUAAGCACCGGCUAACUCUGUGCCAGCAGCCGCGGUAAUACAGAGGGUGCGAGCGUUAAUCGGAUUUACUGGGCGUAAAGCGUGCGUAGGCGGCUAAUUGAGUCGGAUGUGAAAUCCCCGAGCUUAACUUGGGAAUUGCAUUCGAGACUGGUUAGCUAGAGUGUGGGAGAGGAUGGUAGAAUUCCAGGUGUAGCGGUGAAAUGCGUAGAGAUCUGGAGGAAUACCGAUGGCGAAGGCAGCCAUCUGGCCUAACACUGACGCUGAGGUACGAAAGCAUGGGGAGCAAACAGG
rnacentral:rRNA from 1 species